rnacentral:rRNA from 1 species
UACCGAGGGUGCAAGCGUUGUUCGGAAUUAUUGGGCGUAAAGCGCGUGUAGGCGGCUUUGCAAGUCGGGUGUGAAAGCCCUCGGCUCAACCGAGGAAGUGCGCCCGAAACUGCAGAGCUUGAGUACCGGAGAGGAUGGCGGAAUUCCCCAAGUAGAGGUGAAAUUCGUAGAUAUGGGGAGGAACACCGGUGGCGAAGGCGGCCAUCUGGACGGAUACUGACGCUGAGACGCGAAAGCGUGGGGAGCAAACAGG